GAUGAACGCUGGCGGCGUGCCUAAUACAUGCAAGUCGAGCGAACGGACGAGAAGCUUGCUUCUCUGAUGUUAGCGGCGGACGGGUGAGUAACACGUGGAUAACCUACCUAUAAGACUGGGAUAACUUCGGGAAACCGGAGCUAAUACCGGAUAAUAUUUUGAACCGCAUGGUUCAAAAGUGAAAGACGGUCUUGCUGUCACUUAUAGAUGGAUCCGCGCUGCAUUAGCUAGUUGGUAAGGUAACGGCUUACCAAGGCAACGAUGCAUAGCCGACCUGAGAGGGUGAUCGGCCACACUGGAACGGAGACACGGUCCAGACUCCUACGGGAGGCAGCAGUAGGGAAUCUGCCGCAAUGGGCGAAAGCCUGACGGAGCAGCGCCGCGUGAGUGAUGAAGGUCUUCGGAGCGUAAAACUCUGUUAUUAGGGAAGAACAUAUGUGUAAGGAACUGUGCACAUCUUGACGGUACCUAAUCAGAAAGCCACGGCUAACUACGUG
rnacentral:rRNA from 1 species